rnacentral:lncRNA from 1 species
AUCCAUAGCUUCUGAUUCUUUGCUAAUCUUAGGGUAACAGAUUAAAAGAUGAAAGGGGUUUGGAUUUCAUCUAAUCAACCCCUUUAUUAACCAGAAGAAACAGAGGACUGACAAGAUUAAGUGAUUUUUGCAAGGACAUACAGAGAAAAGCAGAAUAAUCCUGCCAUUAGUAUCUGAACUGACAAGAUUUAGAGACAAAUUUGAGGUCGACAAAUCCUAUCCCAUCAUUUUACAAGUUAAGAACUGAGAUUCACAGAAUGGAUGUGACUUCUUUUUUAUCCACGAGAAUACUGAAGCUUAAACACAGGUGGAAUCCAACAACUUAUAUUGAACAUGGUAGAAAGCAGGGAAAGGGUGAAGCAACAGCAAGGGUUUCCUGUUUGUUUUUUUUUUUUUUCUCUCAAUGAGAAGCUGAGAAUUUAC